rnacentral:rRNA from 1 species
UACGGGGGGGGUAAGCGUUGUUCGGAAUUACUGGGCGUAAAGCGCACGUAGGCGGAUUGUUAAGUUAGGGGUGAAAUCCCAGGGCUCAACCCUGGAACUGCCUUUAAUACUGGCAAUCUCGAGUCCGAGAGAGGUGAGUGGAAUUCCGAGUGUAGAGGUGAAAUUCGUAGAUAUUCGGAGGAACACCAGUGGCGAAGGCGGCUCACUGGCUCGGUACUGACGCUGAGGUGCGAAAGCGUGGGGAGCAAACAGGG